AUUGAACGCUGGCGGCAGGCCUAACACAUGCAAGUCGAACGGUAGCACAGAGAGCUUGCUCUCGGGUGACGAGUGGCGGACGGGUGAGUAACGUCUGGGAAACUGCCCGAUGGAGGGGGAUAACUACUGGAAACGGUAGCUAAUACCGCAUAACGUCGCAAGACCAAAGUGGGGGACCUUCGGGCCUCACACCAUCGGAUGUGCCCAGAUGGGAUUAGCCAGUAGGUGGGGUAAUGGCUCAUCUAGGCGACGAUCCCUAGCUGGUCUGAGAGGAUGGCCAGCAACACUGGAACUGAGACACGGUCCAGACUCCUACGGGAGGCAGCAGUGGGGAAUAUUGCACAAUGGGCGCAAGCCUGAUGCAGCCAUGCCGCGUGUAUGAAGAAGGCCUUCGGGUUGUAAAGUACUUUCAGCGGGGAGGAAGGCGGUGGAGUUAAUAACUUCACCGAUUGACGUUACCCGCAGAAGAAGCACCGGCUAACUCCGUGCCAGCAGCCGCAGUAA
rnacentral:rRNA from 1 species